UGGCGACCGGCGCACGGGUGAGUAACACGUAUCCAACCUGCCGAUGACUCGGGGAUAGCCUUUCGAAAGAAAGAUUAAUACCCGAUGGCAUAGUUCUUCCGCAUGGUAGAACUAUUGAAGAAUUUCGGUCAUCGAUGGGGAUGCGUUCCAUUAGGUUGUUGGCGGGGUAACGGCCCACCAAGCCUUCGAUGGAUAGGGGUUCUGAGAGGAAGGUCCCCCACAUUGGAACUGAGACACGGUCCAAACUCCUACGGAGGCAGCAUG
rnacentral:rRNA from 1 species